AAGAUGAAGCUGAAAAUUUACAAUUUCAAGAUAUUCUUAGAAGAUAUCUGGUCUACUUUUUUGAGCUGUUAACAUUUUUCUGAGAGUUAACUUUUCUUGGGAAGAAAUGAAGUGGAAAUAUGGUUGCUGCCUAAGAAGUAAUAAUAGGAGAUACAGGAAGCAGUUUGAAAUGGAAUAGAAACAACUUGUGAUAGAGGACAGAAGCCAUAUCAGAAGUCACGGAAUUAAUUAUGUGAGUCUGGGAUCAGUGAGAGAUGAAAAUUGAGAAGAAAGAAAACUGUAAGACUCUGUGACUUGAAAAAUCCAGGAGAGACAGGCAACUGAAUUGCUACAUUGUAUUUUCUCUUAAACCCAAGAAAAUUCCCUGUGUUAGAACAACUUGAAUGAAAAGAAGAAUAAACAGGUGUCCAACAAUAACAUUUCCAAGAUAGGAAGAAAGCGAGGGUUCAAAACGGAGUUAUAUAUAAUGUGUCUCACCAAUCACUGAAGGGGACAAGUCAUCCAUGUAAGAAAUUAACUCAACCCAGGGGAGAGGACAUAUUCCUGUAAUCUCAGCUACUCAGGAACCUGAAGCAGGAGGAUAAUUUCAGGGAAGGAAUUGAGACCAGCAUGGGCAACAUAGCAAGAUGUAAAAAAACAAAACAAAACACAAUUUUUUAAUGUUAACUAGGUGUGGUGGCAUGUUCCUGUAGUCCCAGCUACUCAGGAGCAUGAGGCAGGAAGCUUGCUUGAGCCCCAAAGUUCAAGGGUGCAGUGAGCUAUGGUUGCACUUCUGCAUUCCAGCCUAGGUGACAGAGAAAGAUCCCCUCUCAAAAAACUUAAUUUAUUGUCAAAUAUACUUUUGCAUAACUGUGUGCAAAUUAUGUAGCUGUAAAAAUAAGGCUAUGAUGUAAUUAUGCCCUGAAACUGUUUGUUUGUUGCUGUUUUUGGUUUUGUUUUAUUUUUGCUUGGUAUUGGUGAUGUAUGGAGUAAUGUGUUCACUGGUCUUUGAGGUAUAAUCAUACCUUUGCCAGAUGGAGAACAGUUGAGCAGUAUAUUCCAGGAAUAGGGAAUAUUAUGUCUAAAACAUUACAUAGUCAAGGAAUUACAGCAAAGUUUUGUUUAUAAAGAGGAGAGGAAAAAAAAAGAAUGAUACAAGGAAUAUAAAUGGGGCGGGCUCUGUAUGUACGCAUUUUUAGAAUAUAAAAUGUUUUUCUAUAGAAAAUAAAGAAACCAUGAUAUGAAUAUAAUAUGUGGGGAGCAUAAA
rnacentral:lncRNA from 1 species